UUAAUUGAAACCAAAGAGAGGUAUAUCACUGUUAAUGAUAAAAUUGAGACAUCUCCAAUUAAA
rnacentral:tRNA from 1 species